UGAGAGAGGGAAGUUUAUUUUUUGGUUGAAAUUUGGGUAAAUUAUACUUUAUCACCUCAGGUUUAAGGUCUAUUACAAUCUUAUACAAAAUCUUCAAAACAUUUCACUUUCAUAUCUCAAGUACUAUUUUAUUUCGAUAUAAUACGUCUGUUACAUUUUCCAUCCAUUGAUCCGUUAAAAGCUGACGUGGUUGCCAAAUUUAUGUCACGUGACAAAAAAAAAUUAUUAGCCUAUUGAAAAAAAAAAUUAAAAAAAAAUUUGAAAGCCCAGAAAUCCAUUCCCCCGACCACCUCCCUCUCCUCCUUCCAUUUCCCUCAUUUCCUACAACCCUAGCACCGUUUCUCUCUCAUUUCUCUCAAAUUCAAGAGACUUCUUUUUCUAUUUCUCUCAACCUAGCCCCAGCGCCGCUCACCCCAUUCCUCUUCAUCAUCUUAGUUAAAUCCGUCAAACAAUCACUGAUGCACCUCCACACGAACCCAGCUCAAAUUUUCCUCCAUCGUCUUGCUGCCCACAAACCAACCUCCAUUUCGUGGAUCCACCGUCCUUGCAAGUCGCCAACACCCACAAAUGAACUCAGAUCCGACGAUCCAAAGUAUGGCAGAGCUCUCGAAGAUGUCAAAAUUUGAGAAGGGAAAAGGCGUGCCAACUCGCAAAUGAGCUCAGUAGAGUGAGUAGAAUAGAUAUGGUGGUGGCUAUUGAAUGCGCUGUUGACUUCUAUACUAAAGGGACUACAACCGAAGAAGGAACAUGUCUUGCCUUGGGUUCUAGAACCUAAAGACAAUGGUACCUAGAUCACGGAGAAAUUCAAUAACUAGCUUAGCUUUCACUGUGACGAACAAGGGUAACUUGUAACAUCUCACUUCGCCGAGAAAGCUUUGAGAUGACCUCUUUAGGAUAAUUGGAAACUCUUCGUCUGCCAAGUCUUGAAUAGGUACCAAAUUAACUAGAAGUAGUGAUGUUCACUUGUUCAAACUGAAUAUGCUCCUAAAUCACUUGAUUGUACGACUCCAGUGAUGUUCACGAACUGAGUGUGAAAAGUGUUUUGCGUAGAGUGUUUGAAUUGUUUAUUGUGUUGAAAGGGGGUUUUCUCAUGUUGCACGAUGUAUUAUAUUUAUAGGAUUGAAUUGCUCAGUCAUGCAGCUCUCCCUGAUAAUACCAAUCAUUUUAACGCUGACUAA